GGAGGAGUCCGCAAGCUUGCAAGGACUCUAAGGGGCUCAUUACAGGCCUGCUCAGAGGACUGAGCCAGCUGUGAAAGAUAAGGGGCUGGCCAAGGAAGUUAAAAGGCUCCCAGGGAAAGGAGUCAGGGAGGUUGUGAUAGAAGAAAGAAGAGCUGAGAGAACUGAAAGUCAGGAAGAUAAGAAAGCAGAGGAAGAGGGUUGCUUGGCUAAUGGAUGCAAUACCAGGGCAGAGACUUUUUGGGUCUGGGAAGAGACCCGUGGUUGCAAAGUUGGUGCCAGCAGUCCUAUGACAGAGAACUCACCCCAAGGAGGAGAAGGAAGUUUUCAGGCAGCUGAAGGCAUCUUUUCACAGUCUGUGCAAGGAGUGGAAGUUCCAGCAGCACAUGGAUAUUGCUCUUGUGCUGGAAAAGCGAGUCUAUGAAUUCUCCCCAAAUUUUUCUCCUGUAAAGGCAACUCUGAGGAACAUCUGAGGCACUCUGGUGUUUAAGCCGCCAGAAGCAAUGAAGGUGACUCUGGAUCCAGCUACGGCCCAUCCCCAACUCAUCCUGUCUGAGUAUCGGAAAAGUGUGAGCUGGGGAAAAGCAUGGCAGCAUCUGCCCAAGAAUCCUGAGAGAUUUGAUACUGUUGACUGUGUGCUGGGCUGCGAGCGAUUUGCCUGAGGGAGACAUUUCUGGGAAGUGGAUGUGGGGGACAAGGGAGCCUGGGCUGUGGGGGUUGCCAGAGAAUCUGUGACGAGGAAGGGGCGCAUCAGCCCUAACCCUGAGGGAGGGAUCUGGGCUGUGGAGUGGUGGUGGAGGGGUGAGUACAUUGCUCUCAUCUCCCCUGAUUGGACACCUCUGCCCCUGAGGUCAGCCCCCAGAAGGGUCCAGGUGUAUCUGAAUUAUGAAUGGGGCCAGGUAACAUUUUCUGCUGCUGAUACAAAUGCCCUGAUCUUCACUUUCCCACUGGCUUCAUUCACAGGGGAGAAAGUACACUCCUGGUUCCGGGUUGGGGAGGGAACCCAGCUCAGCCUGCACUCCUGAAACAUGAAUAAACCUCUUCAUUUUUUACUCCCAAAAUGAGCUUUAUUUAGCUUUUCCAUCCAGGUCUCUCUGUACUUAGAGGACUCCCAUCUAUCACUCAAUCAGUCAGUGAACUUUGUUUAACUUCUGGUUUCAAUUAAGCUAAUAAUGAAUCUAAUAAUGGAUAAUGUGGAGAAUUCUGAAACAUUUAAUGCCUUUCUUCACUUGAGUCUUCGCAAAAAAAAAUCAACUGUCAGAUGACAAACAUGGUUAGCAGCAAGAACAGGGAUGGAAACAAUCAGUUUAGAGAUGGGAAAGGGCAGGUUACAAAUUACUUGAAAGAGCUGGCUGUUUUUAAGUCCACAGAGCUGAACAAGAUUCAUCCCAUAGUUUUGGAUGGAGCUUAGUUGCAGUGCCACUAGCUGCUCUCUUUGAAAACUCGUGCAAGCCAGGUGAGGUCCAGAUGACUAGAAAAUGGCAAAUAUAGUGCCCAACUUUGAAAAAAGGAAUAAACAAAAGGGAAUUUACAGUCUAGUCAGUAUAACUUUGUUAUCAGGAAAGAAUCUGAAGCAUAUGGUCAAGCAAUCUCUCUACGCAACUGUAAGAUAUAACAAGGUGAUCAAGAACAGCCAACAUGUAUUUGUCAGGUCAUACCUGACCAAUUUUAUCUCCUUCUACCAAAAGGUGACAGGUUUUGUGUAUGGGAGGGAGAGCAGUGGAUGUGAUAAACCUCGACUUCAGCAAGACUUUUAACGCUAUCUCCCAUGAUAUUAUUAUUAGGAAAUUAAGGCAAAUCCAGUCCAGAAGAAUGUACUGUAACAUAGAUACGUAACUUGGUUGGAUCAUUGUGCCCAAAGAGUAGUCAUCAAUGUGUCAGUGAUAAACUAGGAGGAUUUGUUAGAUAGGAUUACAUAGAGGAACAUAGCAUAUAAAAAAAGAUUGGAAGAACUGGGAUUAUUUAGGCUGGAAAAAGAUGAUUGAGUGGGGAUUUGAUAACCGUCUUCAAAUAAAUGAAAGCUAGUUAUAAAGAGGAUGGGGAUUGACUAGCCUCUGUAGCCUCAGAGAAGAGGACAAAAAGAAACUAUGGAUGGCUACGAGGAAUAAUUUUCUAAUUAUGAAAGUGGCUAAGCAAGUGAGCAGAUUACCAAGAAAGUCUGUAAAACUUCCAUCCUUGGAAGUUUUUAAGCCCAGGUUAGACAAACGCUUGGCUGAAAUGAUUUGGAAAGACUGGGUUAGAUUAAAUGACCUCCUGAAAUCCAUUCCAGUUUGAUUUUUCCCCCCCCUAUGUUUCUGUUACCCCAAAAGCUAAAUUAUAUCCUGAGUUAAUUUGGUAUGCUCUUACACCACAGGGAAUAGGAGAGGAUGGGCUAGACAUUGAGACUUGCCUAAUGGUCUGGACUUUGCUCCUCUUCUCUGAUCCUGGGGAACUGCAGCUUUGCUGUGUAAAAGUAUGAGAAAGUGGGGUAAAAGGGAGACCUGAGAGGGAAGAUUGGGGGUGGAAAGGGCAAGUUAAAAGAGUAAAGGAAGGAGGGACUGGGAUAGGAGCGGGGCUGCUACUGACUGUUCUUGGGUCUGCUUGUGCAAAUGAACAUUUUAGAUACUUACGAGUUGAAUGCAGUGGUUCCUGAAAAGUGGAACAAAUUUUGACUCUUGUUAUUACAGUAACUGAAUAAUUAAACCCACCUGC